AUUGAACGCUGGCGGCAGGCCUAACACAUGCAAGUCGAACGAGUGGCGGACGGGUGAGUAAUGUCUGGGAACCUGCCCGAUGGAGGGGGCUAACUACUGGAACCGGUAGCUAAUACCGCAUACCAUCGGAUGUGCCCAGAUGGGAUUAGCUAGUAGGUGGGGUAACGGCGCACCUAGGCGACGAUCCCUAGCUGGUCUGAGAGGAUGACCAGCCACACUGGAACUGAGACACGGUCCAAAAUCCUACGGGAGGAAGCAGUGGGGAAUAUUGCAAAAUGGGCGAAAGCCUGAUGCAGCCAUGCCGCGUGUGUGAAGAAGGCUUUCGGGUUGGAAAGUACUUUCAGCGAGGAGGCGUUACUCGCAGAAGAAGCACCGGCUAACUCCGUGCCAGCAGCCGCGGUAAUAC
rnacentral:rRNA from 1 species